GAUGAACGCUGGCGGCGUGCCUAAUACAUGCAAGUCGAACGAACAGACAAGGAGCUUGCUCUCCUGAGGGUAGCGUCGGACGGAGGGGUGACACGUGGAUAACCUACCUAUUAGACUGGGAUAACUACGGGAAACACAGUCUAAUACCACAGAAUAUAUUGAACCGGAUGACACAAUAGUGUAAUACGGUUUUGCUGACUCUGAUAGAUGGAGCCGCGCCGCAUUAGGUAGUUGGUAAGGUAACGGCUUAGCAACGCAACGGUGCGUAUCCGACCAGAGAGGGUGAGCGGCAGCACUGGAAUGGGGACACGGUCCAGCCUACUGCGGGAGGCAGAAGUCGCGAAUCUUCACGAAUGGGCGCAGGGCUGAAGGAGCCACGACGCGUGAGUGAUGAAGGCCUUCGGGUCGUAAAACUCUAUUAGUAGGGAAGAACGAAUGUCUAUAUCACCAUGCACGUCUUGAAGGUACCCAAUCAGAGAGGCCCCGCUAACCACGUG
rnacentral:rRNA from 1 species